UGGGGAAUUUUGGACAAUGGGCGAAAGCCUGAUCCAGCAAUGCCGCGUGUGUGAAGAAGGCCUUCGGGUUGUAAAGCACUUUUGUCCGGAAAGAAAUCCUCUGGGUUAAUACCUCGGGGGGAUGACGGGUACCGGAAGAAUAAGCACCGGCUAACUACGUGCCAGCAGCCGCGGUAAUACGUAGGGUGCAAGCGUUAAUCGGAAUUACUGGGCGUAAAGCGUGCGCAGGCGGUUUUGUAAGACGGAUGUGAAAUCCCCGGGCUUAACCUGGGAACUGCAUUCGUGACUGCAAGGCUAGAGUAUGGCAGAGGGGGGUAGAAUUCCACGUGUGAGCAGUGAAAUGCGUAGAGAUGUGGAGGAAUACCGAUGGCGAAGGCAGCCCCCUGGGCCAAUACUGACGCUCAUGCACGAAAGCGUGGGGAGCAAACAGGAUUAGGAUACCCUGGUAGUCCACGCCCUAAACGAUGUCAACUA
rnacentral:rRNA from 1 species